UAUGCAUGCCGUGGCACACACUGGCCGACACAUAAAUAAUAAUAAAUAUAUUUUUUAAAGUAUGGGGGAGGAUGUUCAUUGUGAACAGCCUCCUGGCCAAGGACACAUGUCCCUCUCUGUGGCUUGGCUGCCCAAAGGAGACCUCUUAGGAUGACAACUCAGACUUUCAGUGACAAGACACUGCAACAAUAUUGAAGCUCCGAAGGCUCCGGGAAUUGAGUGCAUCAGGGAGCUGUCCCUUGGGGGAGUUCACUUCUGACCAAGUCCAGACUCCCAAUGUCACAGGAAUCUUAGAGCCGAAGGAGAAGAUAAGCAAGGAGCAUUGGUUAGACCAGUCAGUACCAGAGUGCUUGUCCCAGGAAACCGUGGAUGGAGUCAGGAGAGGCAGAGCACAGGCAGGCUGUCAGCAGAGGAUCCGCUGUCUCUCAUCAAUAAUGAAGUGCUCCCAGGCCCUCAACUGAAGCCUCCUGCAUAAUUCACCUCGAAAACCUCAAACAAAGGAGCCCAGGGCCCAGUCUCCUACCCCGUGUCCUUCCCAAAUAUCCAAGGAGAGGGGAGGGGUGGGGCAGGGCGGGGAGGGGAGGGCAGGGGACAUAAAAGCUGAUUGAUGGGC
rnacentral:lncRNA from 1 species